rnacentral:ncRNA from 1 species
UCAGGGAGCAUCUAAACCAAAAAAGAGUGAACCGGCAGCGCCAGGCAGAGCGCGGCCGGUGAAU